rnacentral:rRNA from 1 species
GACGAACGCUGGCGGCGCGCUUAAUACAUGCAAGUCGAGCGAGAACCAGGGCUUCGGCCCUGGGGACAGCGGCGAACGUGUGAGUAACACGUGGGUAAUCAACCCCCGACACCGGGAUAGCCCAGGGCAACUUGGAUUAACACCGGAUGCCCCAUCUGGCUUUCGAGCCGGCUGGAAAAGGGUAGCUUCGUCCUCCGGUCGGGGCCCGGCCCGCGGCGGAUUAGCUUGUUGGGGAGGUGAAGGCUCACCAACGCCACGAUCCGUAGCUGGUCUGAGAGGACGAUCAGCCACACUGGGACUGAGGCACGGCCCAGACUCCUACGGGAGGCAGCAGUAGGGAAUCUUGCGCAAUGGGCGAAAGCCUGACGCAGCGACGCCGCGUGAGGGAAGAAGGCCUUCGGGUUGUAAGCCUCUUUCAGGAGGGACGAAGCCACUCGGGUUAAUAGCCUAGAGGGUGACGGUACCUCCAGAAGAAGCCCCGGCUAACUACGUGCCAGCCGCCGCAGUAAAAC